rnacentral:rRNA from 1 species
CAGUCGAACGAGGAAUUUUAAAUGAGACUUCGGUGGAUUUUGGGAUUCCGCGUUGAGGACGGGUGAGUAACGCGUGGGCAACCUGCCCUGUACAGGGGGACAACAGCUGGAAACGGCUGCUAAUACCGCAUAAGCGCACAGUAUUGCAUGAUACAGUGUGAAAAACUCCGGUGGUACAGGAUGGGCCCGCGUUGGAUUAGGUAGUUGGUGGGGUAACGGCCUACCAAGCCGACGAUCCAUAGCCGACCUGAGAGGGUGACCGGCCACAUUGGGACUGAGACACGGCCCAAACUCCUACGGGAGGCAGCAGUGGGGAAUAUUGCACAAUGGGGGAAACCCUGAUGCAGCGACGCCGCGUGAGCGAAGAAGUAUUUCGGUAUGUAAAGCUCUAUCAGCAGGGAAGAAAAUGACGGUACCUGACUAAGAAGCACCGGCUAAAUACGUGCCAGCAGCCGCGGUAAUACGUAUGGUGCAAGCGUUAUCCGGAUUUACUGGGUGUAAAGGGAGCGCAGGCGGUGCGGCAAGUCUGAUGUGAAAGCCCGGGGCUCAACCCCGGUACUGCAUUGGAAACUGUCGUACUAGAGUGUCGGAGGGGUAAGCGGAAUUCCUAGUGUAGCGGUGAAAUGCGUAGAUAUUAGGAGGAACACCAGUGGCGAAGGCGGCUUACUGGACGAUAACUGACGCUGAGGCUCGAAAGCGUGNGGAGCAAACAGGAUUAGAUACCCUGNUAG